rnacentral:rRNA from 1 species
GAUGAACGCUGGCGGCGUGCCUAAUACAUGCAAGUCGAGCGAACAGACGAGGAGCCUGCUCCUCUGACGUUAGCGGCGGACGGGUGAGUAACACGUGGAUAACCUACCUAUAAGACUGGGAUAACUUCGGGAAACCGGAGCUAAUACCGGAUAAUAUAUUGAACCGCAUGGUUCAAUAGUGAAAGACGGUUUUGCUGUCACUUGUAGAUGGAUCCGCGCCGCAUUAGCUAGUUGGUAAGGUAACGGCUUACCAAGGCAACGAUGCGUAACCGACCUGAGAGGGUGAUCGGCCACACUGGAACUGAGACACGGUCCAGACUCCUACGGGAGGCAGCAGUAGGGAAUCUUCCGCAAUGGGCGAAAGCCUGACGGAGCAACGCCGCGUGAGUGAUGAAGGUCUUCGGAUCGUAAAACUCUGUUAUUAGGGAAGAACAAAUGUGUAAGUAACUAUGCACGUCUUGACGGUACCUAAUCAGAAAGCCACGGCUAACUACGUG